rnacentral:rRNA from 1 species
GUGCCAGCCGCCGCGGUAAUACGGAGGGUCCAAGCGUUGUCCGGAAUCACUGGGCGUAAAGGGUGUGCAGGUGGGGCAGCAAGUCAGAGGUGAAAGCCCGCGGCUUAACCGUGGACGUGCCUUUGAAACUGUUGCUCUUGAGUCCCGGAGAGGUUGCCGGAAUUCGUGGUGUAGCGGUGAAAUGCGUAGAUAUCACGAGGAACACCAGAGGCGAAAGCGGGCAACUGGACGGGUACUGACACUGAGGCACGAAAGCGUGGGGAGCAAACAGGAUUAGAUACCCUGGUAGUCC